rnacentral:rRNA from 1 species
UAAAUACUCCCGAGAGACCGAUAGCGAACCAGUACCGUGAGGGAAAGGUGAAAAGAACCCCGAGCAGGGGAGUGAAAUAGACCCUGAACCCGUCUGCCUACAAGCGGUCGGAGCGUCGUAAUGACGUGACGGCGUGCCUUUUGCAUAAUGAACCUACGAGUUACCUUCCCCGGCAAGGUUAAGUUCUUGAGGAACGGAGCCGAAGCGAAAGCGAGUCUGAACAGGGCGCCAAGUCGGGGGGGGUAGACGCGAAACCGAGUGAUCUACCCUUGGCCAGGUUGAAGGUUGGGUAACACCAACUGGAGGACCGGAUGGGUAAGCGUUGAAAAGCUUUCCAAUGAGCUGAGGGUAGGGGUGAAAGGCUAAUCAAACUCGGAGAUAGCUCGUACUCCCCGAAAUGCAUUUAGGUGCAGCCUCUUUAUAGUAUAUCGUGAGGUAGAGCGACUGAUUGGAUGCGAGGGCUUCACCGCCUAUCAAGUCCAGAUAAACUCCGAAUGCGCGAUAUAUAUUUACAGGGAGUGAGGGCGCGGGUGCUAAGGUCCGUGUCCGAGAGGAGAAGAAUCCAGACCACCGGCUAAGGCCCCCAAAUGAUCGUUGAGUUGAACUAACGAGGUCGGAUCGCAGAGACAGCUAGGAUGUUGGCUUGGAAGCAGCCAUUCAUUUAAAGAGUGCGUAACAGCUCACUAGUCGAGCGAUCUGGCGUGGAUAAUAAUCGGGCAUAAACGAUCUGCCGAAGCCGUGGAUGUCGCAAGACAUGGUAGGGGAGCAUUCCAUGCCGCGUCGAAGAUGAGGGAUGACCCUUGUUGGAGCGCAUGGAAAAGCAAAUGUAGGUAUGAGUAACGAUAAGGGGGGCGAGAAACCCCCCCGCCGAAAGACCAAGGUUUCCUGAUCAACGCUAAUCGGAUCAGGGUGAGUCGGGACCUAAGGCAAAGCCGAACGGCGCCGCCGAUGGAAGAAUGGGUUAAUAUUCCCAUACUGCCUCAUGGAGUGACGUGGAGACGGAGAAGUGACAGUCCUGCCGGCUGACGGAAUAGCCGGUUGAAGGGUGUAGAUAUUGAUUCCCGUAGGCAAAUCCGCGGGGAGAGUCGAACCUGAGAGUAUACGGAGCGCUUGCGCAACGUAAUAUGGACGUAACCAUGCUCCCGAGAAAAUCCGCUAAACUUAUCCAUGCGGCACCCGUACCGUAAACGGACACACGUGGUCGGGUUGAGAAUACUGAGGCGCUCGAGUGAUUCACGGUUAAGGAACUAGGCAAAUUGACCCUGUAACUUCGGGAUAAAGGGUCCUCGUCGUAAGGCGAGGCGCAGAGAAUAGGUCCAGGCAACUGUUUAACAAAAACACAUGGCUGUGCUAAAUGGAAACAUGAUGUAUACAGCCUGACACCUGCCCGGUGCCGGAAGGUUAAGAGGAGAUGUCAUCCGCGAGGAGAAGCGUUGAAUUGAAGCCCCGGUAAACGGCGGCCGUAACUAUAACGGUCCUAAGGUAGCGAAAUUCCUUGUCGGGUAAGUUCCGACCUGCACGAAUGGUG